UUUCAUGUGCCAGUGAAAAAAUGGCCUUUGAGAUAAAAUCCUAAGCAAUUAACAUGACCAUUAGGGUUUGGCCUCAGCUUCCAGCCUAAUGUCUGUUCAUGAAUUGUAAGCUUCAAUUUCAGUAUGACCACAUUCUUUCUUGGUAGUAGUUAACUCCUCACACCUUAAAUUGACUGCUUAACUGAAAACCUCACAUGCUGCACUAGAGAGUAAACUCACUGAGAGCAGAGACUGAGUUUCAUUCCCAGCGCAGUCCCUAAACACGCGUGCAUGCGAGCCCUCACUUCAGUCAUGUCCAAUUCUGUGCAACCCCGUGGUCUGCAGCCCGUCAGGCUCCUCUGUCCAUGGGAUUCUCCAGGCAGGUUCUUUACCACAAGGGCCACGUGGGAAGCCCACCUAAGCAUGCUGCUGCUGCUGCUAAGUCACGUGUCCGACUCUGUGCGACCCCAUAGACACCAGCCCACCACGCUCCCCCGUCCCUGGGAUUCUCCAGGCGAGAACACUGGAGUGGGUUGCCAUUUCCUUCAAUGCAUGAAAGUGAAAAGUGAAAGUGAAGCCGCUCAGUCGUGUCCAGCUCUUAGCGACCGCAUGGACUGCAGCCCACCAGGCUCCUCCAUCCAUGGGAUUUUCCAGAAGCCUCUUUGGAGUCUGACAGUGUUAACUUCUACCAGCAGACUCAAGUGGGGAAAAGCAGUGUUUUUUCAUGAAGCCUGGAUCUUCAGUCUUGUCUGACUCUUUACGACCCCAGUGACCGCAGCCCAACAGCUCCUCUGUCCAUGGAAUUCUCCAGGCAAGAAUACUGGACUGGGUUGCCAUGCCCUCCUCCAGGGGAUGUUCCUGACCCAGGGAUCGAACGCGUGUCUCUUGCGUCUCCUGCACUGUCACGUGGGUUCUUUACCAUUAGAACUACCUGAGAAGCCCCAAAUAAAGUGAUAACUGAUAUAAAAUGUAGUUUGAAAAGUCUCAAGGACAAUUCACAAAGGCAAAUGAAAACACCCUAGAGACUCCAACAAAGACCCAAACUAAGCCUUAACAGUUACACAGUGAAGAGAACGGUGCACGAUAAACACUGCUCCCGGAUCCAGAGCGGAAUGUCCAGUCCCCUUCCCGGGGGAGGCUAAUUCUACCUGCCUUUAUUGACCUUUCAGGCCUAACCUCCUCUGUGCAUUAUAGUUUUGAACUCAGAGACUGGCAUUUUUAAAAUGUCUUAGCAGUUGCCAGAAGCCGGGUUGGAAUAACCCUCCUGAACGGCCCUCAAGCUCUGCCUCCUAACAACACUAACAAUUACUAGGAAUAAUAAUAACCUUAUUUUAAAGUAGUUUUAAAAUUAGCAAGUGCUUUACCUACACAUUUAAGGCACAAACUAAUAAAUAAUGAGCUAUUACAAUUUCCACUGUACAGAGGAGAAAACUUAAGCCCAGCAACAGGGUAAAUGGCAACAGCCAGGGUUGAAGUUAGUGUCCAAACUCAUUCUCCAGACUCUGGAACUUGAGCCCACCAUUGGCGUGACAGCAAACACAGGUAUUUUAAACAUUAUGGGCACCAUCUUCCCACUGGUAUGGAAACUAAUCUUCAACAACAAGAAAGAUUUUAAGAUUUUAAAGCUGCAUGAUCCUGCCUUGAGUUUUUCAAAAGAAACCUGACCAGUUAUCUGAUAAUCUGUACAUGUAUAAACUGAUUUCUGGGAUCAAGGAAAAUUCCAUUGCAUUUGGUUAUCUUUUGAAUGUCGCAGACUAUUACCUCCCAGGGGCAAAAUUUCCUAAUUAUUGAAAAUCUAUAGAUGAAAGAAACUAUGUAGAUUAUCCCUCCACUUUGCAUGUUCUUCAUUUCCUCUUGAUGUGACACACGUAGCUUCUCAGAUAACUGUGUCAGUUUCAAACUAGGUACCUUAACACCUUUUGAGAAUUGCAGCCCACAGAUUCUUUCUUAAAUGAAUUGAAUAUUCAUCAAGUAUUCCAACAGUGUUUCUAGGAGUUAUUACUUUACGUUAAUCCAAAUUAGUUCUUCCUUCUCAUUAGUUGAAAGCCUAAUUUUCUCCUAAUGAAAUGUUGAAUAUGCAUAAAAUUAACUAAAUCAAGUAGUAUUGAGCAUUUUCAAAACACGAAAUUAAGGAUUUAAUAGUUCAUUCCUGCCACUAGAGGGCACCAGAUGCUCAGAAGCAUGAGCAUUAAAAAAAAUGCCAGUUUUUCAAGUUGCUAAAAAUUCAUUUUUAAAUUUUCAUUCAAUUUUGAAGUAUUUAAAAAAUA
ensembl:lncRNA